rnacentral:rRNA from 1 species
UACGUAGGGUGCAAGCGUUGUCCGGAAUUAUUGGGCGUAAAGAGCUCGUAGGCGGCUUGUCACGUCGGGUGUGAAAGCCCGGGGCUUAACCCCGGGUCUGCAUUCGAUACGGGCUAGCUAGAGUGUGGUAGGGGAGAUCGGAAUUCCUGGUGUAGCGGUGGAAUGCGCAGAUAUCAGGAGGAACACCGGUGGCGAAGGCGGGUCUCUGGGCAGUAACUGACGCUGAGGAGCGAAAGCGUGGGGAGCGAACAGG